rnacentral:rRNA from 1 species
UACGUAGGGUGCAAGCGUUGCCCGGAUUUAUUGGGCGUAAAGGGUGCGUAGGCGGUUGGGUAAGUCUGACGUGAAAUCUCCGGGCCUAACCCGGAAACUGCGUUGGAUACUAUCCGGCUAGAGGAAUGGAGGGGAGACUGGAAUACUUGGUGUAGCAGUGAAAUGCGUAGAUAUCAAGUGGAACACCAGUGGCGAAGGCGGGUUGCUGGGCCGACACUGACGCUGAUGCGCGAAAGCCAGGGGAGCGAACGGG